rnacentral:rRNA from 1 species
UCUGGUGAUUCAAGGCAGUGGCCCCACCCGUUCCCAUUCCGAACACGGUCGUGAAACGCUGUACUGCUGAUGAUACUCACAAGGGAAAGUAGGCAAUCGCCAGAA